GGAGUGGACAACUCAGUGGUAGAGUGUGUGCUUAGCAUGCACAAGGUCCUAGGUUCAAUCCCCAGCACCUCUA
rnacentral:tRNA from 1 species